rnacentral:rRNA from 1 species
CGGAGGGUGCAAGCGUUAUCCGGAUUCACUGGGUUUAAAGGGUGCGCAGGUGGGUAAGUAAGUCAGUGGUGAAAUCUCCGGGCUUAACCCGGAAACUGCCAUUGAUACUAUUUGUCUUGAAUACUGUGGAGGUCAGCGGAAUAUGUCAUGUAGCGGUGAAAUGCUUAGAUAUGACAUAGAACACCAAUUGCGAAGGCAGCUGGCUACACAAAUAUUGACACUGAGGCACGAAAGCGUGGGGAUCAAACAGGAUUAGAUACCCUGGUAGUCCACGCCCUAAACUAUGGAUACUCGACAUUUGCGAUAAACUGCAAGUGUCUGAGCGAAAGCAUUAAGUAUCCCACCUGGGAAGUACGAUCGCAAGAUUG